UCUGACCAGCGACGCCGCGUGCGGGAUGAAGGCCUUCGGGUUGUAAACCGCUUUCAGUAGGGAAGAAGCGAAAGUGACGGUACCUACAAAAGAAGCACCGGCUAACUAUGUGCCAGCAGCCGCGGUAAUACAUAGGGUGCAAGCGUUGUCCGGAAUUAUUGGGCGUAAAGAGCUCGUAGGUCGUUUGUUACGUCGGAUGUGAAAACCUGAGGCUCAACCUCAGGCCUGCAUUCGAUACGGGCAAACUAGAGUUUGGUAGGGGAGACUGGAAUUCCUGGUGUAGCGGUGGAAUGCGCAGAUAUCAGGAGGAACACCAAUGGCGAAGGCAGGUCUCUGGGCCAAUACUGACACUGAGGAGCGAAAGUCUGGGGAGCGAACAGGAUUAGAUACCCUGGUAGUCCAGACCGUAAACGGUGGGCACUAGUUGUGGGAACCUUCCACGGUUUCUGCGACGCAGCUAACGCAUUAAGUGCCCCGCCUGGGGAGUACGAUCGCAAGAUUA
rnacentral:rRNA from 1 species